ACCCUCCUUCUUCCUUUCCCAUAGGUUACUAUUAUUGUGUUUUUAUACUUUGCAUAAAUGAUGUCAUUAAAAAUAUAAAUAAAUACAAAUGGAUCCAAAAAUAGCAUACUAUAUACAAUAAUGUACACUUGAUGUUGCCACUAACCAUGUUUUCAAGACCUAGCACUUCUAGUAAUCAUGUAAUCUAGUAAUCGUGUAAUCUAGUAAUCAUCUAACACACAAUGUCUAAAUAUACAUUUUAAAUGCACUUAUUUUUUUAUGUUUAUUUAUUUUGAGAGAGAGUGAGAGAGAGAGCAUGCAUGCGUGCAGGGGUGGGGCAGAGAGAGAGGGAGAGGGAGAAUCCCAAGUAGGCUCCAUGCUGUCAGCACAGAGCCCGACGUGGGGCUCAAUCUCACAAUCCAUGAGAUCAUGACCUGACCUAAAAUCGAGAGUCAGAUGCUUAACCAACUUAGCCACCCAGGCGCCCCAAUGAAUUUAUUUUAAUGACCAUAUAGUAUGUGUAUACCAUGUGGAAUGAAUUCUCACAUUUAUUUAUGUGUUCUCCUAAUGAAACAUAUUUGGCUUAUAAUGGGUUCUCAGGGAAGCUAAGAUUGAUUGAAAAAUGCCUUUAAUGUUUGAGAUUAGCAUUGUGAAUAAAGCCCUAAAAGCCAAAGAGGAUAAAAGGUGUCUGGAGUUGCAUUUAACAUUAGGAAGACCGUUUGGCUUGAGCCUUAAGGUUUCAAAAAGACACACCUUAUUUCAAUAACUACUAUGUAUUAGGAAACAAGAGACAAAUGUAAAGGAGAAGCUAUAUUAAAUACUAAUUAAUGUUAUAUGUAUUCUCAUAUGUGCACAUUGUCCUUGUUUGUUUGUUUGUUUGUUUGUUUAAUAAGCUUUAUUUUUUAGAACAGGUUUAGGUUCACAGCAAAAUUGAACCUAUAACCUAUAACUCCCCACCCCCUCACACGUGCACAGCCUCCUACACUAUUAAUAUCAUGCACCAGAGUGGUACAUUUGUUAUAAUCAAUGAAUGUAUGCUGAUACAUCAUUAAUCAUCCAAAGUCCAUAGUUUAUAUUGGGGUUCACUUUUAGUGUUGUAUAUUCCAUAGGUUUUGAUAAAUGUAUGAUGUUACAUAUCUGCCACUGUGGUAUCAGACAGAAUAGUUUCACUGCCAUAAAAAUCCCCUGUUCUCUGCCUGUACAUCCCUCCCUCUUCCCAAAUCCUGGCAUUCACUAAUCUUUUUACUAUGUCCAUUGUUUUGCCUUUUCCAGAACGCCACAUAAUUGGAAUCAUACAGUAUGUAUGUAGCCUUUUCAGAUUGGCUUCUUUCAUUUAGUAAUACCCAUUUAAGUUUUCUCCACGUUUACAUGACUUGAUAGCUCAUUUCUCUUUAAGUGCUGAAUAAUAUUCCAUAAUUGUCUAGAUGUACUACAGUUUGUUGAUUCACCUACUGAAGGACAUCGUGUGUCUUCCAAGUUAGGGCAAUUAUGAAUAAAGUCUCUAUAAAUACCUGUGUGUAGGGUUUCCUGUGUACAUACAUUUGCAACUGCUUUCAGUAAAUACCAAGGAGCAUGAUCUCUGGAUUGUAUGGUGAGAAUGUAUUUAGUUUUAAGAAACUGUCAAACUGUCUUCCAAAGUGGCUGUGCCAUUUUACAUUCUUACCAUCAGUGGAUGAGAGUUUCUGUUUAUCCCCAUCCUCACCAGCAUUUGGUGCUGUCAGUGUUUUGGAUUGUGGUACCUCUGAUAGGUAUUAGUGGCUGUCAUUGUUUUAGUUUGCAAAUCCAUAAUGCACAUGAUAUUUAGUAUAUUUUCAUAUGCUUACUAACAUCUGCAUAUCUACUUUGGUGAGAUAUCUGCUCCAGUCUUUUGCCCAAUUUUUAAUUUGGUUGUUUGUUUUCUUUUUGCUGAGUUUUAAAGUUCUUUGCAUAUUUUGGAUAGCAAUCUUUUAUCAGAUGUGUUGUUUAUAAAUAUUUUCUCCCAGUCUGGCUUGUCUUCUCUUUCUCUUUACAUUGUCAUUCACAGAGCAUGAGUUUUUAGUUUUAAACAUUUAAAAAUUUUUUUUAAUGUUUUUAUUUUUAUUUUUGAGACAGAGAGACAGAGCAUGAGCAAGGGAGGGGCAGUGAGAGAGGGAGACACAGAAUCCAAAGCAGGCUCCAGGCUCUGAGCUGUCAGCACAGAGCCUGAGGUGGGGCUCUAACUCACAGACUGUGAGAUCAUGACCUGAGCUGAAGGCGGAUGCUUAACUGACUAAGCCACCCAGGCACCCUGAGUUUUAGUUUUAAUGAGGUCCAGCGUAUCAAUUAUUUUUUCAGGGAUGGUGCCUUUGUGUUGUACCUAAAAAGUCAUCGCCAAACCCAAGGUCAUCUGGAUUUUUUUUCCUAUGUUAUCUUCUAGAAAUUUUAUAACUUUGCGUUAUACAUAUAGGUCUUCGAUCUAUUUUGAAUUAAUUUUUGUGAAGGGUGUAAGGUCUGUGUCUAGAUUCACUUUUCUGUACCUAGAUGUUCUGUUGUUCCACAUUUAUGGAAGAGACUAUCUUUGUUCCAUUGCAUUGUCUUUAUUCCUUUGUCAAAGAUCAAUGUAUGUCUACUUGUAUAGGGUGUCUAUUUUGCUUCAUUGAUCUAUCUCGCUAUUCUUUUACCAAUACCACAUUGUCUUGAUUACUAUAGCUUUAUCAUAAGCCUUGAAGUUGAGUAGUGCCAGUCUUCUGACUUUCUUCUUCUCCUUCAAUAUUGGGUUGAUUAUUCUGGGUCUUUUGCCUCUCUACAUAAACUUUAGAUUCAGAUUGUUGAUAUUCAUAAGAUAACUUGCUGAGAUUUUGAUUGGGAUUUUUUUUCUUGUCUAAUUGCUUUGGCUAGGACUUCCUCUCUACUAAGCCACUUAUCAUCACCUAUCCACUUUCCAUCAACAAUAAAAUGUUGUUGACAUCCCUCAUUUGCUGUGGUCCCCAUUCUUUUCUUUUUCUUUGUGGAUUUGUAUCUUUUUUAAAUCCCCCCCUUAACAUUUUAGUGAUAUUUCAGAAGAAACAGAAAUAAAUAAAUAUGAUUAAUUCGUUAGGUUACCCAGAAGUGUAUUUAUUUUUCAUAUAUCAUCACUUUAAAAAUUAUGGCUAAGGGACCAAAAAAGCUGCAAGCUGUAGGGCUUCUUUCAACUUUUAGGUAGGUCUGAUAGCUACAAUCUUCAUAAACUCUUCCUAGAGACAGAAUCCCAAAUGAAUAAUAGGUCUGACACAAUAUCCACAUUUUCACAUUUUUAUGUACAAACACAAAUUAGUGGAUGAUUAUGUGCUUUGCAAAAGGAUUUACUAUGGGACAUAGUUAGCUCCCCUAGGAUAUCUAGAGUAAAAUUUUAUGUGCAAAAUCUCAAUUUAUAGCUAAUGAGAAUAUAAUCAUUAUAUAUAAUAUAGUGUACUUCUAUCUUUCUGCUAGCCAUGUCACUAAGCGUAUUCUUUAAUUUGGAAGCUGGAGUUUAGUAAAUGGCGCCAACAUUUAAAUCACAUUCUUAUAGACUCACAAAGAAGUGGAAACUGUAAAGAAGAGGACACACAGAGAGAAAACAGGCUUUGAGAAGGAUUGGACAACAAGAAUCUAGCACCAAGUCUGGCUCGAAAAUGUUUGCAUGAAAGAAUGAACGGACGAAAUGAUGACUCUCACUCGCUGGGAUGGUGAAAGCCCACAGAUCCAUGAUGCCCUCCUCAUGGCUCAUCUCACUGUUAACUUCUCGUUUCCUCUGGGGCCCCCAAAACAGUAUGACCUCCUGGAGUGCUAUGGGCAGGCCAGCAGAGCCCUGACUGCAGCCCAGAGAGGAAAAUGACUUGCCCCAGUCAGUAAGUGGCAAAGUGUCCUUCAGUCGGUGCCGGUGCCCUCGUUCCUGCCCUCUGGGAGGCCCUGCCCUGAUAAACAGCUAUGGAAUGUCGACACACAUGUGAAUGUGCUUGCAGCUGAAGCUCUUGAACAUUCAAAUGCCUUCCCUGCUGGAUAAUCUCUGAAAGAAGUUGGACAAAGGAGAGGGGAAUGGACCCAGGGAGCUUAAGAAAUGUUUUUGUAAACCUGUAUCCGGCCACACUAAAUAUGUAUGCAAUGUAGGUGGGCCUUGCACUCCGGGGGGUUUCCAUUCAUGUGUUAGGAUUUCAGUGAUAAGAAAAUAUAUUUUUAAGUUCUUUUUCCAUGCCUGUUAUGUAUCUUGGAAAGUUAGCAGCUGGGGAGAUUUUUUUUUCCUACUGUGUCCUAUUUAAAAAAAAAAAAUGAAAACAACCUUUUGAUUUUUUAAAGUAAUUAUGCGUACCAUUUAGAAAAAGCUACCUUAUUAAUAUUUUGAUAGACUUCCCAGGCUCUUACUUACACACCUAUACAUGAAAAGAUACAGCUUUAAGAAUAUGAGAUCAUACCAUACUGUUUCAUAACCUGACUUUUUUUUUAUGCAAGAAUCUAUAGUGAACCUAUGUCCAUGGACAUCAAAAGAUGUACAUCAUCAUCAUCAAUCUUAAUAGUUACAUAGUAUUCUAUUUUAUGGAGUUAGUGUAAUUUGAUCAAUUCCUAUUGACAAAACUUUACAUUGUUUCCAAUUUUUGUCUUACUAAACCACGUUUGAUGUUCUUUUAUAAUAUCUUUGCUCUCUUGUCUCUAUCUUAGGGAAACUUCUUAGAAGAAGUAUAAUUUUUACAUGGAUAGGAGAGACAUUCUCCUUUCUAGAAAAGUUGUAUUGAUGUAUAUCAAUACAUUAAUUGGCAGGGGCCAAUGCAUUGGCAGGGGACUCUCAACAGCAGUUGUGUCAAAGUCUUUUAAAAAUAAUUUUAAGGAUGCCUGGGUGGCUCAGCCAGUUAAGCAUCUGACUUCUGCUCAGAUCAUGAUCUCAUGGUUUGUGGCUUUGAGUCCUGCAUCAGGCUCUGUGCUGACAGCCCAAGAGCCUGGAGCCUGCUUCAGAUUCUCUGUCUCUCUCUCUUUCUGCCCCUUUCAAGCUUGUGCUCUCUCUCUCUCUCUCUCUCUCUAAAAAAAAACCAAAAAAACAAAUUUAAAAAACAAUUUUAAUUUUGUUUCUAUUAAAUACAUGAAAAUGAUAUUUCUAACAUGUGAAGGACAUAAAGACUGAUAAAACAUCUGUGAAUUUACCAUCUAGCUUAAGAGCUAAAAGAUCAUAACCACCCAAAGCCCCCAUCCUGCUCCUCAGAAGAAUCUACCUUCCUGAAUUGAGUCUCUACCAGCCCCUUGCUUUUCUUUAGUUUUACCACAUAUGCUCAUAUUCUUUAACAAUAUAUGACUUAGUUUUGCAUGCUUUUUCCUCAUGUAAAUGAAAUAAUGCUUUGUGUGUGUAUUCUUUGAGGACUUGCUUUUAAAAAACAUUUACAAGUGAAGUAUAUCAUGCAUACAAAAAAGUGCACUUAUCAUGAAGGUUUAGCUUGAUGAAUUUUCUCAGAAUGAACACAUCCCUAGAUCAAGACACAACAUUGUUAGUGCCAUAGAAAUGCACCUCAGCCCUGACCCGGUUACUACCUCCUUCCAAAGGGAACCAAUAUUCUGACUUGGAACACCAUAACAUUUAUAUAAAUGGAAUCAGAGUGACUAACUUCAUACACUCAACUUCAUGCAUGUUGCUACCUGUAUCUGUAAUCAUUUGUUGUUAGCAUUGUAUAGUGUUCUAUUGUGAAUAUAUCAUAAUUUAUAUAUCUACCUAUUGAUGGAUAUUUGGGUUCAUUCCAGUGUUUGCUAUUACAAAUAAAGAUAUUACAAACAUUC